AAUAUAGCAUAAAGUGGAUGCCUUGACUCGAAUGUCCGAUGAAAGACGUACUAAUCUGCGAUAAGCCUGGAAGAGCUGAUAAGGAGCGUUAUCAUUCCAGGAUUUCUGAAUGGGGGAACCUAAUAAGGGUAAUCCUUAUUGUCUGUAGUACAGACGGAGACAUUGUGAACUGAAAUAUCUAAGUAGCAAUGGAAAAGAAAUCAAUUGAGAUUCCCUGAGUAGUGACGAGCGAAACGGGAAUAGUCUAAACCGCAGAUACUUUAUAGGUAGCUUUUGGUACUGCGGGGUUGUAGGAAUAAUAUAAGGGGAGGCUAAUAACCCUAAUAUAGCAUAUGAUUGUUAAGAGAACAGAAUGAGAAGUCUGACCAUAGAGGGUUAAAGUCCCGUAAAUUAAAACAUUUGUAUUUUGUAUAUACUAUUUCCUGAGUAGGUUCAGACACGUGUAAUCUGGACUGAAUCUGGGGGGCCCAUCCUCCAAGACUAAAUAGCAUUCGAGAUCGAUAGUGAACUAGUACCAUGAGGGAAAGGUGAAAAGAACCCCGGGAGGGGAGUGAAAUAGAACCUGAAACUUUAUGCUUUCAAAGAGUGGGAGCCGCAAGGUGACCACGUACUUUUUGUAGAACGGACCAACGAGUUAGUGUGUAUGGCAAGGUUAAGGAAGUUUUAUCCGGAGCCGAAGUGAAAGCGAGCCUGAAUAGGGCGUAAGUCAUAUAUACUAAACCCGAAACUCAUGUGAGCUUCCCAUGAGCAGGUUGAAGUCUGGGUAAAACUAGAUGGAGGACCGAACCAUUUGGAGCUGCAAGUCCAUUGGAUGACUUGUGGGAAGGAGUGAAAAGCUAAUCGAACUGAGAUAUAGCUGGUUCUCCGCGAAAUAUAUUUAGGUAUAGCCUCAAACAACUAUUAUACAGGGGUAGAGCUCUGAUAGAGCUAGCGGGUCGCGAGACUUAGUAAACUCUAAUAAACUUCGAAUACUGUAUAAACUAUUUUGGGAGUCAGACGGUUGCGGAUAAGCGCUAUCGUCAAAAGGGAAACAGCCCAGACUACUAUCUAAGGUCCCUAAUUAAUAACUAAGUGGUAAAGGAUGUGAAGUUGCUGAGACAACCAGGAGGUUGGCUUAGAAGCAGCCAUUCCUUAAAAGAGUGCGUAAUAGCUCACUGGUCUAGCGACAUUGCGCCGAAAAUACAACGGGGCUAAGUUAUUAACCGAAGAUGUAGAAUUAAAUUUAUUUAAUUGGUAGCGGAGCGUUCUGUAUGUCGCUGAAGGUGAAGGGUGACCUUUGCUGGAGAUAUCAGAAGUGAAAAUGUUGGUAUGAGUAACGUAAGUGAGAUGAAAACUCUCACCGCCGGAUGUCUAAGGUUUCCUAUCCAACGUCAGUCGUGGUAGGGUUAGUCGGUCCUAAGGUGUAUCUGAAAAGAAAAGCUGAUGGAUACCAGGUUAAUAUUCCUGGACUACUUAUAUUUUUCUAAGGGGGGACAUAUCGGGAUGUAGGAGACACAUAAUGUAUUCGUGUUACGAAAGCAAAAUUUGAGACAUAGGCAAAUCCGUGUUUCUUUAAGAUUGAGCUUAGUUAAAUCAAGCUUGUUUUAGCAAUAAAAUAAGCAAGAUAGCUUCUAAUACAUUCUGGUAUCGAGAAAAGCCUCUAUGAGCCAAGGUAUAAGUAACCGUACCGUAAUCGAACACUCGUAGACUAGUGGAGAACACUAAGGUGAACGUGAUAAUUAUGCUUAAGGAACUCGGCAAAACAGCGGUCGUAACUUCGGGAUAAGACCUGCCUAAUUUCUAAUUUAGGAAUUAGGCCGCAGCUAAAGAGCUCAGGCGACUGUUUACCAAAAACACAGCUCUCUGCAAACUCGCAAGAGGAUGUAUAGGGGGUGAUGCCUGCCCAGUGCCAGAAGGUUACGGGGAUGAGUGCAAGCUCUGAACCUAAGCCCUGGUGAACGGCGGCCGUAACUAUAACGGUCCUAAGGUAGCGAAAUUCCUUGUCGGGUAAGUUCCGACCCGCACGAAUGGCAUAACGGUCUGAGCACUGUCUCAAGCAUAAUCACGGUGAAAUUGCAAUAUCGGUAAAAAUGCCGAUUAUCCACAGCUAGACGGAAAGACCCUAUGAAGCUUUACUAUAACUUGACAUUGGGUCAUGUUUUAAAAUGUGCAGGAUAGGUGGGAGACAAUGAGAUAGAAACGCUAGUUUUUAUGGAGUCGUCCUUGAGAUACCACCCUUUUUAAAAUGUGAUUCUAACUUCAAAAUUGAAGGACAGUGUUUGGUGGGUAGUUUAACUGGGGCGGUUGCCUCCUAAAAUGUAACGGAGGCGCGCAAUGGUUGACUAGUAUCGGAUGGAAAUCGAUAUGAUAGUGUAUUCGCAUAAGUCAGCCUGACUGAGAGACCUACAAGUCGAUCAGACACGAAAGUGGGCGAAAGUGAUCCGGCACCUACGAAUGGAAGUGGUGUCGCUCAACGGAUAAAAGUUACUCUAGGGAUAACAGGCUGAUCGCGUCCAAGAGUUCACAUCGACGACGCGGUUUGGCACCUCGAUGUCGGCUCGUCGCAUCCUGGGGGUGGAGAAGCUCCCAAGGGUAUGGCUGUUCGCCAUUUAAAGCGGCACGCGAGCUGGGUUCAGAACGUCGUGAGACAGUUUGGCCCCUAUCUGUUGUGGACGAAUAGGAAUUUGAAGAGAUCUGCUCCUAGUACGAGAGGACCGGAGUGGACGAACCUCUGGUGUAUCGGUUGUUAUGUACAAUAGCAUCGCCGAGUAGCUAAGUUCGGAAAGGAUAACCACUGAAAGCAUCUAAGUGGGAAACCAACUCUAAGAUUAGAUUCCUCUACCUUUACGGUAAUAAGUCCCCUUGGAGACUACAAGGUUGAUAGGUUGUAGGUGUAAGAAUAGUGAUAUUUUUAGCCGAGCAAUACUAAUAGGACGAAUGGAUUUUAA
rnacentral:rRNA from 1 species